AAAUCCUUCUGGGUAAUUAUGUCUGAACUAAAUGUACAAUGCUGAGAGCACUACCCCAUCUGCCAGUACAUUUCCAUGCCAGAGGAUACAACCCCCUUGCAGCUAAUGUCUGAGGGAAUAAGACGAGCAAUCUGCAAGAUUAAAACACUGAAGCACAGAACAUAAAGAUAAAUAUCUCAUGAUGAUGCAGCUCAUAAGGGGCAGAGCUGGGAAUCUGAAAGGGAAAGUCUGGCUGCAUAAACCCUCCAAAUGCUGUGCUGUCUCUUGAAGGAUCCUUGGGCCAUACCAAUGGCUCAGUUGAGGGCAAGAUCUAUCAAUGGCUGCAGUAGUGGGAAGAACAAGAUCAUCGGGGAGAAGGUCACAAAGACCCCACUCAUGCCAGCUCUCUGCACACAUUGUCAUCUCUGCUGGAAGUGCUUCUUUCCUUGCUCCAUGCC
rnacentral:lncRNA from 10 species